AGCGAACGCUGGCGGCAGGCCUAACACAUGCAAGUCGAACGAAGUCUUCGGACUUAGUGGCGGACGGGUGAGUAACACGUGGGAACGUGCCUUUAGGUUCGGAAUAACUCAGGGAAACUUGUGCUAAUACCGAAUGUGCCCUUCGGGGGAAAGAUUUAUCGCCUUUAGAGCGGCCCGCGUCUGAUUAGCUAGUUGGUGAGGUAAAGGCUCACCAAGGCUACGAUCAGUAGCUGGUCUGAGAGGAUGACCAGCCACAUUGGGACUGAGACACGGCCCAAACUCCUACGGGAGGCAGCAGUGGGGAAUCUUGCGCAAUGGGCGAAAGCCUGAUGCAGCCAUGCCGCGUGGAUGAUGAAGGUCUUAGGAUUGUAAAAUCCUUUCACCGGUGAGGAUAAUGACUGUAGCCGGAGAAGAAGCCCCGGCUAACUUCGUGCCAGCAGCCGCGGUAAGAC
rnacentral:rRNA from 1 species